UGUGUGUGUUGUUUGGUUUGCUAUGUGUCUUUAAAAGCUUUUGGCAAACACCCAGCACAAAGUUGUGAGGUGUUGGGCUUCCUCCCAAGGAAGGAAGGUGCUGCUGCUGUGAGCGAUCACCAGCCACGGGUACGCAUGGGAAAUGAGGAAUCCUCACCCUUCUGUCUUCCAGCUCAGUGAUGAAUAAAAUGUCUAAGAAGAAUCUGAAUUAGGAGGAAUUCCUGUAUGAAGUGAAAGGCUGGAACAAUAACCCUGCACCGGAAAGCUAUCAUGCCUUUCUCACCAGUAGCUAAUUACCUACUGAUUGUCCACUGCUGUACUCGAUGAACCACCUACAACCUGGAACACAAGUGAUUUUGUCUCCUUCUAGUGGAUGGUGAUAACCAGAUGUGCCCAUGACAAGACGGCAGCUACUCACUC